UGCAGAGACACCCUUCUCCUUUCUGCUGUCUCUGCACGGGUGGCCAGAGCCACACAGCCCUUUCUUUAAGUCAGGAGUUGCCCUGUCAGAGCACAAGGCAAGAAGGAAGUGGUAAAGGGACGGAGGGGAAGCCCUGAGAGGACUGAGAGGAUGGGAAAUUCUCUGCUGAGAGAAAACAGGUUUUGCCUUCUCCCAAGAAUCAUGGUGAGCAGCUGAUGGAGAAUAGCUGAAAGGUGGAAAGACUUUACCAAGGAAGGUCUAUAUAAUAGGUUACCACCUAAGAAAUGAAACAACUUUCUGAAAGCCCGGGAAGGAGAUGCUCUCCUGAGCUCCUCAUGCUCCACAAGGAGGUCAAAAUCACCACCCUCUUUCAGCCACUAUUUUAAGUUUGAAAUAAACAGCAAGCUUCCUGCCACCUUGAGUCUUCCUUUGAUGUGCACUCCCUGCAAGCAGGCGGCAGCAGAACACUCAAGAGAUGCCUUGGAAUGUGAGAAUGCAAAGCCCCAAACAGAGAACAUCCAGAUGCUGGGAUCACCAUAUCGCUGAAGGGUGUUUCUGCCUUCCAUGGAAAAAAAUACUCAUUUUUGAAAAGAGGCAAGAUUCCCAAAACGAAAAUGAAAGAAUGUCAUCUACUCCCAUCCAGGACAAUGUUGACCAGACCUACUCAGAGGAGCUGUGCUAUACCCUCAUCAAUCAUCGGGUUCUCUGUACAAGGCCAUCAGGGAACUCUGCUGAAGAGUACUAUGAGAAUGUUCCCUGCAAAGCUGAGAGACCCAGAGAGUCCUUGGGAGGAACUGAGACUGAGUAUU
rnacentral:lncRNA from 1 species